rnacentral:rRNA from 1 species
UACGAAGGGUGCAAGCGUUACUCGGAAUUACUGGGCGUAAAGCGUGCGUAGGUGGUGAGUUAAGUCUGUCGUGAAAGCCCCGGGCUCAACCUGGGAAUGGCGAUGGAUACUGGCUCGCUAGAGUGCGGUAGAGGAGAGUGGAAUUCCCGGUGUAGCAGUGAAAUGCGUAGAUAUUGGAAGGAACACCAGUGGCGAAGGCGACUAUCUGGGCAAAUACUGACACUGAGGCACGAAAGCAUGGGGAGCAAACAGG